GGGGAAUAUUGCACAAUGGGCGCAAGCCUGAUGCAGCAACGCCGCGUGAGUGAAGAAGUAUUUCGGUAUGUAAAGCUCUAUCAGCAGGGAAGAAAGGCUCUUCGGAGAGAUGACGGUACCUGACUAAGAAGCCCCGGCUAACUACGUGCCAGCAGCCGCGGUAAUACGUAGGGGGCAAGCGUUAUCCGGAUUUACUGGGUGUAAAGGGAGCGCAGACGGCAGUGCAAGUCUGAUGUGAAAGCCCGGGGCUCAACCCCGGAACUGCAUUGGAAACUGUACAGCUUGAGUGUCGGAGAGGUAAGCGGAAUUCCUAGUGUAGCGGUGAAAUGCGUAGAUAUUAGGAGGAACACCGGUGGCGAAGGCGGCUUACUGGACGAUUACUGACGUUGAGGCUCGAAAGCGUGGGGAGCAAAC
rnacentral:rRNA from 1 species